rnacentral:lncRNA from 1 species
CGUUGCUAGAAUAUAAGGAAGUUUCACAUAAUCGUUACAAACUUAUAUUCACAUGUAGUGAAGAUCGCUUAUAAACGAUCGCGUUAAGUUCAAUUCCUAGCAUAAGCGACAUGAUGUCAUAGUUGCAAGUGCUUUGUCAAUGCUUAAGAUUUUCAUUAAACGUAAUGAUCUUUGAUUGUAUCUCUAUUAUGAUGUCAUGUAGGGAACUUUUAAAGAAUGUUUUGGGUUGUCGAAUGAUGUCAUCCAAUCCAAUAAAACAAGGAAAAUCUAAGGGUUAAUUAGUGAUGUCACAGUUAAUUUGGGGCAUUGUCGUUCAUAAUUCAAUGAAGUAGUAACUGGAAAUCGAAUUAUUUGCAUACAUGUCAUGUGUGGAGAAAAAAGCCUCUAGCUAUCCCAUCCAUCAUCUUAUUUCUCAAAUUUGUUUUACAAUCUGUCUAGCUUUUCAUAUUUGUUUGAAAAUUGGAUCCAAUCACUACAAGAAAACAUGGAAUAGGUGACGGAAUUCUAUGUGACACCCAAAAAUUCGUCAUAUAUAGGAAAAUUAAGUGACGAAAUGUUAAAUGCGUCACGCAUAAUUGGUCUGCCAGGUAAGGAAUUUGAAAACACAUAUGUGACGAUAAAUACAUCACAUAUUCUAAAAUUCAGUGACGAAUAUGACAAGCGUCACCUAUAACUAUUUUAUAUCUUUUAGGAUGAAAAAAAGUGACACAAUAUUUUCGAAGUCCUUACUAAAAUAUAUGGCAGGGAAGAAUGGCGCUGUGCGAAAUACAAUAAGUGAGGAAUUUCAAAGUGGGUCACAUAUUUGUAUCCUUUGUGAGGAAAGUGGUCGUCACAUUUUGAACGGGGAUUAAAAGUUUCAACAAGAAAAAAAGAGUGAAUCAAAUAUUAAUAUUUUUUAGAUUACUCUCUCUCAGACUUCUCCCCUCUGUAUCUCAUUCACUUUCCUUCUCUCUAUCUCUCAUACUUCUAUCCUUUCUCCAUCACCAUGACCCAAGAUCAUAGCAACCACCACCAUCUCAACUCUCAAUCUUCUUCUCUAUCUACUAUGACAGUACCAGGAUUUUCCAAGCCAAUCGCUUAAACCCUUUCUCAUCCUUUCCCUCUCUAUCACGCUCCACAGCCAAAAACCCUAUAGACCCUUUCAACCAACAAGGUUUUUCUUGAUGAUUUAAGGUAAAACAAUUUGGUUGGUUGUUCAUACACAAGAAUGAACAAAAGAAAGAAAAGCUGAUAUAGUUUGGGCUUUAUAGUUGCACUUUGGAAAUUAAAUCAAACAUGUCCCCCCUACA